rnacentral:tRNA from 1 species
UGGCUAAGAUGGUAAAGAAUCUGCCUGCAAUGCAGAAGACCCAGGUUCAAUUCCUGG